GGCUCUACCAUAGCUCAGUGGGAGAGCACUUGCUUUGCAUGCAGAAGGUCCCAUGUUCAAUCCCCAGCGUCUCCU